rnacentral:tRNA from 1 species
GCCCGGCUGGCUCAGUCAGAAGAGCAUGUGACUCUUGAUCUCAAGGUUGUGAGUUUGAGCCCCACACUGGGUC